rnacentral:rRNA from 1 species
UACGGAAGGGGCGAGCGUUUGUUCGGAAUCAUUGGGCGUAAAGGGCGCGUAGGUGGUUCUGUAUGUCUACCGUGAAAGCGUACGGCUCAACCGUAUUUUGUCGGUGGAAACUGCAGGACUUGAGGCUGGGAGGGGCUGGUGGAAUUCCCUGUGUAGCGGUGAAAUGCGUAGAGAUGGGGGGAGAACACUCGUGGCGAAGGCGGCCAGCUAGACCAGUUCUGACACUGAGGCGCGACAGCGUGGGGGAGCAAACAGG